GGUCAAUGAUGUCCUAAUCUACGAUUUAAUUCGAAUUGCUGUGAGAUAUCCUUAUUAAGCAAACUGAGACA
rnacentral:snoRNA from 1 species